rnacentral:rRNA from 1 species
UGGGGAAUAUUGGACAAUGGGCGCAAGCCUGAUCCAGCAAUGCCGCGUGUGUGAAGAAGGCCUUCGGGUUGUAAAGCACUUUUAUCAGGAGCGAAACGCUGUCGGCUAAUACCCGGCGGAACUGACGGUACCUGAGGAAUAAGCACCGGCUAACUUCGUGCCAGCAGCCGCGGUAAUACGAAGGGUGCAAGCGUUAAUCGGAAUUACUGGGCGUAAAGCGUGCGUAGGCGGUUUCUUAAGUCUGCUGUGAAAUCCCCGGGCUCAACCUGGGAAUGGCAGUGGAUACUGGGAGGCUAGAGUGUGUCAGAGGGUGGUGGAAUUCCCGGUGUAGCGGUGAAAUGCGUAGAGAUCGGGAGGAACAUCAGUGGCGAAGGCGGCCACCUGGGACAACACUGACGCUGAGGCACGAAAGCGUGGGGAGCAAACAGGAUUAGAUACCCUGGUAGUCCACGCCCUAAACGAUGCGAACUGGAUGUUGGUCUCAACUCGGAGAUCAGUGUCGAAGCUAACGCGUUAAGUUCGCCGCCUGGGGAGUACGGUCGCAAGACUGAAACUUAAAUGAAUUGAC